CAGUUUUUAACAUAAUACUUGCAUUCUAAAUUACAUGCAAAUUGCUGCUGCCUGAGGAUAAAGAAUAUUUUUAUUGUUAGUUAUCAUCUCAUUUUAUUUCAUCCCCACAGAACAUUUGGGGUUGGGCUAUGAAACUGUUUUGAGUAGGGAGAUUUCCUCAUAUCUUUUUAUUUCUUUUAGUCUUUAAUGGACUUUGUUUUUUAGAGCAGUGUUAGGUUCCCAGCAAAAUUGAGCAGAAAAUACAAAGAUUUCUUAUACACUCCCUGUCCCUGCCACCCCCCAUCUUCCCCCACUAUGAACAUCCUGCACCAGAGUGGUCCAUUUUUACAAUCGAUGAACCUACAAAUGGCUUUUUUUUUUUUAAUCAUAAUACUCUCAGGAUAAGGUAGCAGGUCAAAGGGGCACAGCUGCAUCUUAACCUUUCAUUAUCUCUUCAAGAUGCAGGACCUACUUGGAAUUGGAUGGACUGGUUAGAAUAGUACAAUCAGUGUGUCCUGUCUGACUGUCCCUUUUCUUGUCUCUUCUCCUUUAUGAAGUUCUUUAAGGACCUCAAAAUGCAGAACUGCAGCAGGAACCCGACAAUGGGGUGGGAGACAAAGCCAGCUUCAGAGAUGCCAGUGUUUACGCUGAAGGGACGUGGGCAGAAUCCGCCGACAAAUAAUCACACCACAGUCCAUUGAGCCCGAGCGAGGUCCCAGUGGGAGUGGUGAAUGAGUAACUAGUGUCCCCAGCAGCCCUCUUCAUUCUGCAUGAUAGCACAGAAUAAACCAUGCCGGGGCGGCGAGGAUCCCACCCUCCAGUUACUGUUUCCUCAACCCGGCUGCCCCAGUGCUCACUCCUCUGGCCAGCAUGCAGGCACAAGCUUGGAGAAUCGGGCAGGAAGACGCAGCUAAGCAUUAACUUUCAAAUUCAGCUCUGCCCAAAUUAAAGAGAGGGACGGGGUAUAUAGAGUUCUCAGAACUGUGUCUGGAUGGUCAGCAUAUUCCAUGUUGAUUUCUUUUUUGCAAGGUCACCAUGCUAUUAGUUACAGAAGUGAUAAUAUUAUUUCUUCUCUCCAAACAACCAGAUGUUUUAAAAGUUAAUAGAAGUGGAAUUUGAACCUGAGAUGUAAAAAUGAGCCAAGAACAAGGUCUCAGAAAGCCUCCUGGUAACUUCUGUCUAUUGAUUUACUAAAAGAGGAAGAAAAACAUCAUAAAAACAAAAGAUGAAGAGGAAAUCUUCACUUUUUUUAGACUUUUCCAUCUUCAUGUCUGUUGUCAAGUAUUUUGUCAAGAAAUGCAUUAUAACCUCAUUUAAAAAAAUAAACAGAACUUAUGAAGCAAUUCUCUUGGAGAAUAACUGGAAUAGUUUCUAGCGAUGUUUCAAAAGACAGACUCACCUGCCUGGUGUUUUUGUAGGUCUGGUGAUGGUCUGUGUUCAGCUGAGCAGAAUGAAACAGCGCUGACAGACAGAAGACACCUCACCCUCUGUCUUUCA
rnacentral:lncRNA from 1 species